rnacentral:rRNA from 1 species
UACGAAGGGGGCUAGCGUUGCUCGGAAUCACUGGGCGUAAAGGGUGCGUAGGCGGGUCUUUAAGUCAGGGGUGAAAUCCUGGAGCUCAACUCCAGAACUGCCUUUGAUACUGAAGAUCUUGAGUUCGGGGAGAGGUGAGAGAACUGCGAGUGUAGAGGUGAAAUUCGUAGAUAUUCGCAAGAACACCAGUGGCGAAGGCGGCUCACUGGCCCGAUACUGACGCUGAGGCACGAAAGCGUGGGGAGCGAACAGG